rnacentral:rRNA from 1 species
UACGGAGGAUGCAAGCGUUAUCCGGAAUGAUUGGGCGUAAAGGGUCCGCAGGUGGCAGUGUAAGUCUGCUGUUAAAGAGUGAGGCUCAACCUCAUAAGAGCAGUGGAAACUACAUGGCUAGAGUGCGUUCGGGGCAGUGGGAAUUCCCGGUGUAGCGGUGGAAUGCGUAGAGAUCGGGAAGAACAUCAGUGGCGAAGGCGGUCUGCUGGGCCGUUGCUGACGCUGAGGCGCGACAGCGUGGGGAGCAAACAGG